rnacentral:piRNA from 1 species
UGGAUGCACACUGUUUACACUGGCUGGUAAA